GAAACUAUAAUUUAAUUGGGAGAAUGAUGGGUUGUCAACCUAUUUGUAGGGGUUCAAAUCCCCUUGGAUUCG
rnacentral:tRNA from 1 species